ACCCGCGUACAUGCCACCGGGGCAUCCCGGAGGCAGGAAAGGCUUCGGCCGGACAGGGAUGGGCAUGCGGCGCAUUAGGCAGUAGGCGGGGUAACGGCCCACCUAACCGACGAUGCGUAGGGGUUCUGAGAGGAAGGUCCCCCUCACUGGUACUGAGACACGGACCAGACUCCUACGGGAGGCAGCAGUGAGGAAUAUUGGUCAAUGGUCGGGAGACUGAACCAGCCAAGCCGCGUGAGGGAGGAAGGUACAGAGUAUCGUAAACCUCUUUUGUCAGGGAACAAAGACUGGGACGCGUCCCCGGAUGAGUGUACCUGAAGAAAAAGCAUCGGCUAACUCCGUGCCAGCAGCCGCGGUAAUACGGAGGAUGCGAGCGUUAUCCGGAUUUAUUGGGUUUAAAGGGUGCGCAGGCGGUCUGUUAAGUCAGCGGUCAAAGCCCGGGGCUCAACCCCGGCCCGCCGUUGAAACUGGCAGUCUCGAGUUGGAGAGAAGUAUGCGGAAUGCGCGGUGUAGCGGUGAAAUGCAUAGAUAUCGCGCAGAACUCCGAUUGCGAAGGCAGCAUGCCGGCUCCACACUGACGCUGAGGCACGAAAGCGUGGGUAUCGAACAGGAUUAGAUACCCUGGUAGUCCACGCAGUAAACGAU
rnacentral:rRNA from 1 species